CAGGGGUUUCUUUCGGCCUUCAGCUGUUUAGACUGUAGGCCGGCGGAAACUACUUGC
rnacentral:pre_miRNA from 1 species